CGCCUGUUUAUCAAAAACAUCGCCUCCUGCAACUAUAUUGAGUAUAGGAGGUCCAGCCUGCCCAGUGACUACGGGUUCAACGGCCGCGGUAUUUUGACCGUGCAAAGGUAGCGCAAUCACUUGUCUCUUAAAUAGAGACCUGUAUGAAUGGCUAGACGAGGGCUUAACUGUCUCCCCCUUCCGGUCAGUGAAAUUGAUCUAUCCGUGCAGAAGCGGGUGUAAUUUUACAAGACGAGAAGACCCUUUGGAGCUUAAGGUACAAAAUUCAACCACGUUAAACGACUCUACAUAAAGCAAGAACUUAGUGGCGAAUGAAGUUUUACCUUCGGUUGGGGCGACCACGGAGGAGAAAAAAGCCUCCGAGUGGACUGGGUUAAUCCCCAAAGCCAAGAGAUACAUCUAUAAGCCGCAGAACAUCUGACCAAGAAUGAUCCGACUGACAAAGCCGAUCAACGAACCAAGUUACCCUAGGGAUAACAGCGCAAUCCUCUCCCAGAGUCCAUAUCGACGAGGGGGUUUACGACCUCGAUGUUGGAUCAGGACAUCCUAAUGGUGCAGCCGCUAUUAAGGGUUCGUUUGUUCAACGAUUAAAGUCCUACGUGAUCUGAGUUCAGACCGGA
rnacentral:rRNA from 1 species